GGCAGCAUGGUAUAGUGGUUUGAAUGUUGGACUGUGACUCUGGAGACCAGGGUUCAAAUCCCAGCUCAGCCA
rnacentral:tRNA from 1 species